rnacentral:snoRNA from 1 species
AUUUGGUGAUGAAGUUAAGAUGCACAUAACUUCUUGAAUCUCUCCUAAUACUCAUACAAAAUCUCUCCAUUUUACUGCCGAAUACCAUAUAUUUCUUUUCUAAUGCU